UCGAGAAUCUUCCGCAAUGGACGAAAGUCUGACGGAGCGACGCCGCGUGAUGGAUGAAGUCCCUCUGGGACGUAAACAUCUUUUAUGAGGGAGAAAGUUUAUUGAUAGUACCUCACGAAUAAGGGGUUGCUAAACUCGUGCCAGCAGCAGCGGUAAUACGAGUGCCCCGAGCGUUAUCCGGAAUCAUUGGGCGUAAAGGGUGUGUAGGUGGCAUUGUUAGUCACACGUUAAACCCUGGGGCUUAACCCCAGAUCUGCGUGUGAUACGGCAAAGCUAGAGGAUGGCAGGGAUGUAUGGAACUCAUGGAGUAGGGGUGAAAUCAGUUGAUAUCAUGGGGAACACCGAAAGCGAAGGCAGUACAUUGGGCCACUCCUGACACUGAAACACGAAAAGCGUGGGUAGCGAAUGGGAUUAGAUACCCAAGUAGUCCCUGAGCGGGCUGGCAAGGCGCAU
rnacentral:rRNA from 1 species